UUCCUCCCUCCGCCCGACUAUUUAUUUGCUUUGAUAUUUAGAGUUCCUCUGAAAUCCUAGACUUAAGUUGAAUAAUUUCCAGCUAUGUUUGUUUCUACGUCAAAUCAGGGUUCGAUAUUUGUAGAUCCGACAAAAAAGAAGAUUAAAAUUAAUAGAUAAUGACUACGGGACAGAUCAGACAGAUCAUAGAGACAAUAUACGAUCGAUGCCUCUAUAGAGGUUGCAAGAACGGUCCAAUUUAUAAUGGAUAUAGGCUCUUCCGUUUCCCAGCUCCUGAGGACCCUCGGCAGAAAAUUUGGAUAAAGAAUUGCGGAAAUAAAAGACUACAAAUAUGGAGUGGGCUUUCUAUUCGAAGAGCCGGACUUUGUAAGAAUCAUUUUCGGCCUGAAUCCUUUACAAAAUAUUCACCGAAUGGACGGUUAAGAUUAAAACGAAAGUCAAUUCCAAUACCCUUUGAAGAAGCAGAAGAGUUACGGAGACAGAAGCAAGCCGAAGAAGUUAGAGCAGUGGAAUUACAUUUUGAAAAAACAGAAGAAUUGUUGAGACAGAAGCAAGCUGAAGAAGCUAGGGCGGUGGCAGAAAAGGCAGCAUUAAUAAAAGAAGAACAGAUGCAUCCUGAUGUAUCCGUAAAAGUAGAAGAUUAUGAAAUAUUGACUGAAGAGACAAUUGAAAUUGAAGAAAUAAUUCCAUCGAGUUCUGAAGAGACCGGACAGCAAAUAAAGAAUGAAUUCAUAGAGAAAUCUACAACAAAAAAUUCUGCAGUAGAAAAAUGUGUAAUAGAAAAACCUGAAAUUGAAACCUAUACAAUUUUGGAUCAACAAAGUGAACAAUUAUCUUCCAUAUCACAAUCAACCAGACCGAAGCAUGAAAUUCCUGACAAAAAGAAAGAGGUGGUUUACCUGGUGAAAGCCAUCCGAGACAUUCGACGACAAUUAAAGCAGUCUCAGUAUUCCAAGAAGAUGCUUCAAAUGCAGCUGAAUAAAAUUCUUAAGGAGAAUAAUCACCUACGUACAAAUAAGUACAUUUCGACCGACGAACACUUGAGGCGGUAGCUUUACAAACCGAAUGCUUCAUAUUUAUCAAAAUAAAGGCACUUCACCAAAUGGAUAUGUUAUGUCUUACAAUCUAUGUGAAAUUAUAUUUGAAUUUUGAGGUGGGAUGAUUUUACUCUGCCACUUUAUUUUAUGGUUUAAAUUCUAUUACAUGUUUAGUUCAGAUAAAAUCCGACGACAGCGCUAGCAUCAUUAAAACGCUACCUAUUGUAAUCAUGUUACGCGUUCUUAAUGGCGGCGCGUUGCAUGGCGCGAUUCUUAUAUUACGAUUUUAGGUUAGAAUUCAAACUAUUUGAAGUUGAAGUAUCUCUAAGGGUAAAGGGGAUUAAACUCAUUGUUUAAGUUUAUUCGUAAAAGUUUAGAAUUAACAUUUAUAGAAGAAGGUUUGACGAGUGUUUAUUUAAUUGUGCAUUUUACAAUGGGUGACAAGAAGCUCUUAAGAGAGUUGGAUGCUUUGAAGAAAACUUACGCGGAAAUGCAACAACUUUACACCUUGCUACGGCUCCUGAAAGCUGACUUGAAGAAAAUUACAGACAAUUUUUCAAAAAUUGAAAAAUAGAGGGGACAGUUAUAAGGAUGAAGAAUAACUGUAUAUAACAUAUGUCAUUAGAGAAAUGAAGUUAAACGUUAACGAUAGAGGGUAACCAGAAAUAAUGGAGCAAAGCUUUAACGUAUUCCAAUACAAAAGCUGCUCCGUUAUUUCUGGCCACCUUGUAAGUAUUACUCGACGUAUUACAGUAACAUAAAUAUAUUUCAUUCAAUUAAAAACAACAGAUGUAUUUAUCUAUGUAACGAGCGCAGCUUUCGUACAAAGGAAUGAACGCAGAAGUGUAAUCAAGGCCUGUAGCGCAUUGAAAGUGCACUUAAUUUAAAACCUAUAUAGUGCUGGUACAGUUUACUUAAGUCAACAAUUAAAUGCUAGCAUCUCAACAAUCUAAAUGAAUCCAUAAUUUUAAGUUUUUGUAGAGCCUUGAUUUAAUUAUUCGGUUUGCAUAACUAAUAACGAUAAGAUAGUCUCGGUAUAUUACUUCUUAACCUAAUAUAUACUUUAAGUGUACGUUAUCGUUAUUGUGUAUAUAUAAGUUACGCAUAGUUGGAGCACCCUGUACAUCACGGAUCUCGAGUUCUUUGUGCUUACACCUGGGCAAAAAUCCUAACAUCAUCAUAGGCCAAUGUUAAUAUUUAAUCAUUGUUGGACUAUUAUUGCCACAAUUGCCUAAACCGCUGUAUCAUAGAAAUCGUUUGCAGCCCUGUAAUCCAUAUUAACAUAUCAUAGGAAUGAACCAGCAAAGAUCCGAACGAUGAUUUUUUUGACUAGAAUAAAUAUAAGUCUCUCUACUUCGUUACAAUAAUAUUACAAUAAUAAAUAUUUCUCUUUCUACCAUCUCA
rnacentral:misc_RNA from 1 species